rnacentral:lncRNA from 1 species
UUUUUUUUUGUGCCAUGGAAUUUUUUAAUAUUGUAAAAACAAAGAUAAAUGGUAUAUAUUAGUUUCAAUAAGGAAAAAAAUUAACAACCUCCCAUUCCCCAAAUAAUAAUGAGAGAUGGGCUUAUUGUAUACACCAAUCAUACAAUAAUAAUGCUCAAAUUUAUGCUUGAGUUUAUUAUAAACUGGCUCUUGUAUCUAUUGAAACUUAUGGCCACUCACGUCAAAUGAGAGGAUUAUCCUGUCUAAUAUGCCAUUCCCGAUAUUAUCAAGUUUAAGUUUACUCGCAAUCCAGUAACAAAAUUCAUUUAUGUAAGCGAAAUCACUUCUAGUGAAUUCAUCUGCUUGUUUAAAACUCUCCAAUUGUUACUACUUUGUGUAUGUGCUGUGUGCAUACACCUCAACAUGAUCAGUCGGAUAUAAAAAAUUCCUUUAUCUUCAUCAUUGAAUUUAUGCAUAUACCCAACUGAAUGUCAUUUUUUGAUAUGAUUGAAUCCAAAUCCAACACAACGGGUCGAACCAAUCUUGUAUCAUGUCAUUGGCGCAGAGGAUUGGUUGCAAAUUUCGGAAGGGUUUCAAACUAAUUCUUUUAUGGCUGGGUUCCAUAAAACCACAUUACUACAAGAAUACAAAACAAUGAGAGUGGUUUUUCUCAACAGCUAUCACUAAAAGUAUUUGAUGACCGUCACUAUAUGAAUCGUCAUAAUAUCUAAUAUUUACAAUGAUAGUUCUAUUAUAUAAUAAUCAGUAAAAAAUGUUAUUAAAAAUACAAAAUAAUCUAACAUUUACAAUGACGGUUCUAUUACAUAACGUUCAUUUGGGAGUAGGAGGAAUUUAUACUAUCCACUUUCAUUUCAGCAAAUAAAUAUAGUAUGUUAUCAAAGCCAUUGAUUAUGCAUUUCUGCUCAAACCAUGAAGAAGUUGUUGAAUCAAGUCCAAAAUCCUCCAUAUCCAUUUUUGGAGAUAUGGCAAAGAACAAAACUCAAGAUCAAGCAAAUUCUUUUGUUAAAGUGGCAUUUUGCUCUCGUUGAAAACAAGAGAGAAUUGGAGAUUGAUCAAGGACAUUUUGUGACAAAACAUGAUCCAAGAAAGAUCAUAAUACUCCUUUUUUAAGCAAACUAAGUCAAUAUGUAAGAUAAAGAUGGCAUGGCAUAGCCCAAUUGACACAACUCAAAAGUUUUGAUUAUUUCAAGUAUACGAGUGUCUAGUUAUAAUAUAAUUUACUGAGCCAAUGUCGAACCACAAGGAAUUUAAAAAGCUAGUAGUCAAUUAUUAAAUAAAAUAAUUGUUGAAAAUGAAAUUAAUAAGAAACAGUCUAGAAAAGUGUUAAGGUUAAGAAAUCCGCUCUUGAUUUUUAAAAUUAUGUUUAUAAUACUCUCUCAUAUUUAUAUUUUACAUUUCUUUUGCUAGUUAAUUAUUAUGCCAUUUAAUUCUCAACUAACUAUUUGUAUGGAUUAAUAUGAGAUCAAGUAUAUAAUCUGUCAAAGCUAUAUCGGAGUGUCGACAUCAUGUCAAAAUAUCAUACUGAUUAAAAGAGAAAUUAGAUCUAUAAAUUGACAUGACAUAAAAAAAAUUAGUAAAAAGGAAUACAAAUUAUAAAUAUGUAAUAAAUAAAAUAAAUUUAAAACGUACUUGAAUGGGUAAUUAAUUCCAUGAUCUAAAUCCUUGAGCUUCAUUGUUCAACUGGGCCUAAAAAAUUAGCCACUUAUAUUUGAAAGUAAAUGCUCAUUUUAUUUAAUAAACUUGUGAAGUACAAUAGAAAAAAAUUGAAAACAAAUAGAAACAAAGAGAUUCCCCCCCCCCCGCCCCUAAAAUUUACUCUAGAUUUACACCUAAAAAACUCACUCUAAAGUUCACCACAUAAUUCUCUCAUUUCGUUCUUUCUUUGAAAUCUAGCAUACCUAAUUUGUGAGAGCUCUUGCAUGUAUAUAGGCAAAUUUUGAGUAAUCAAGUGUGGGUAUUUACACGAUAUUUUUUGUUAGCUUGCAACCACAAUAUUUAGAUGAGUUCUUGUAGCACAAUCCAAAGAAUGAAAAUUGCAACCAUUAUGGAUCAUUGGAUUUAAUAUAAUCAAUGGCUACAAUUGAAGCCAAAGCAAGACUUUCCUUUUGCUCAUGUGUAUACGUGGUUGAGCUCAUUUGUCAAGGUUGUUGAUCUACCCAAUUUAUUGUAUUAAAUCUAGUACAAUAAGAUGCAUAGGAGCUCAGUCAUGGGCACGAUCUCAAUCGUUCAAAAAUAAUGCUAGAUCAAAGGGCUACCGAUUCUUCCAAAGGAUUUUGAGAAUCCAAAAUCUAAAUUUCACAUCCAAAUUUUCGAUCCAAGCAUAAGAUUUAGGGAUUUCCUACAAAACACAAAAAAAUCAUACUUAAAAACGAAUAAAAAUAAACAGAUUAUAGAAUAAGGUUCGGGAUUUGUAAAUGUAAUAAAAUUGUUAGUGUUAUCAACAUUGUAAGUGCAAAAUGAUGAUUUUAAUAUUUAUUAAAUGUAUACUUUCUAGUAUUAAUCACCAAUCAUGCCAAGCACAUGAGCUAAAUUUGAGGUUUGGCAUGGUACACCCAUAGUAGGUCAUGGACCAAUCCACGGGCCUUAAUUUAGUGUUUUUUUUUUUUUGGAUUUUAUUAAGUCUUUAACCAUAUCUAAGUUAUCAUCUAAGUUGAACAACAAUUAUAAAUAUUGAUAUUUUUAAUUUAAUUGAGUAAUAAUAAUUUAAAUCAUUCAAUUAAAUUUAAAUUAUCAGUGUGAAAUUAGAAAUUUAGAAUAAAUGUGAAGUCUUAAAUUUAGUUUUCAAAGUUUGAACGUCAAUUUUUUAAAUUUGUAUUUUAACUUUCUAUAGCAAAAUAACAUAAGAAACUAACAAAAAAUAUUUUUAAAAAAUUAGGGUGGACUAAGGCCGGCACAACAAGCACUUGCCGUGCAUGUGCACGACCUCUGUCGUACACUCGUAUCUGAGCACAAGACGGGCGAUGGGCUAAAUUGAUUGGCCAAGGGACUCUACUGUGCCACGACAAACUCAUGUUUCAUGGGCCUGUGGGUCCAGCACGGCCCACUAGUCGUCCCUAAAAUAAGAGAAUGGCUCGCAGUCUAACAAAAUUAAAAAUGAAAAAUGAAACGCAUUUAGUAUAAAAAUUGAUAGGCAAUCCAAAAUGUUUUAUUUAUUUAUUUAUUUGUUGAUCCUCUCCCUAGACUUGAGCGGGUCCGGUCCAUACUUUUCUAAGUCUCUAAUAAAGUUAUAAAAAAAAUGACUUAUUUGUUUUAAUUAACGAAUUGAAAUCUAAUAAUCACCAUGAUUCAUCGUCCCUCGCCACCGGCUUCCAUCUGCCACUUCAAUUUGUGGUAGACUGCUACCAUGGCCCGAUAGUCUUUGAUGCCAAAUUUUGUACUUUUCUUUAUCUCGAGCUCAACGUAAAGAUGCCCAAAUCUCCGACAAUAUAACUUCAUUUGAUUGUUAAUUUAAAAAAAAAAAAGGCAAAACUAUGUAGUUUCAAGUCAUUAUUUUAUCACCCUUAAGUCACCCCGUUUGUGCAAUUAAACAUCACUGCUCCUCAUAAGAUAAGUAACUUGUUGACUUGUAGAUAUUGCUUUCCCGAAUGGCAUUUUUUUUUUUUUAAAUUUAGCCAACAACUCAAUCAUCUCCCCACUUGUUUGAGAAAAGUUCGAAUCUCAUAUCUCUCUUUUUCUAAUAUUAGAUUUUUCCAACUCAACUAGUUAACUAGUACCCACUCCUCGAACACUUAAAUAAUCAAACUUUGCUUUAACUAAAUAAUAAUAGCUUGGAGUUCUUUUCAAUAUAAUAAACCUGAUUUUGUGUAAACCCAAAUACCCAAUAACAAUUUUGUCCAUAAUUAAGCGCUAGUGAAUGAAUUAAAGCUAAGUGAUCAUGCGAACUAGUAUUCUCCAAGAAUACCAGUCAUUCUAUUAGCAAUACAAUUAGUAACAAUUUUAUAGAUAUGAUAUUGAACAAGCUCAUAGGCCUCAAUUCUGGUACCUUCUUUGAUACUCUAUUUUGGGGGAUUAAAGUGAUGUAAGUAAGAUUGAGAGCGGAUAUAUCUCCUUUCUCAUUAUUUACAAUUGUUUAAUUGUGGAGAUUAGUAAAAAUGGUUUAAGUCAUGUAAGUCUGGUUGGUUGAUACUUGGUAUUGCUUUGCUUGUCUUCUUAAUGUUUUUUUUUUUUUUUGUUUUUUUUUUGGUGGGGGCGGGGGCGCAUGAAUUCGUGCUAGUAGGCUACCAAUACCCACGUGCUAUUAAUGUUGCAUGAUGAUUGGGGACAUUACCUUCCUCUAAACUUAAUUAGGUUACAAAUCAAAUUACUCAUUUGUCCAAUAGUAAUCAUUUAAAAACAUAUGAAACAUCUCCUCUUCUAUCAAACUUAUGGUUGAUCUUUAUAAAAUUUAAAUAAGGAUCAAAUAUAAUGCAGGAAAUCUGAACACCGCGUUAAAAGGUUGUCCAUAAUAAUUUAAAAGCAUAUGAAACAUCUCCUCUUCCAAGUCAAUAUUGUUAUCAUUUGGCACAUUGAGUGGGGCCCCUAGAAGUUUUGAUAAGAAAAACAAUUUAUUAGAUUUUCAAUUUAAUGGAUACUAUAGUAUUGAAGUCAGCAUUCCCUUUGGUGCACUAUGGAACCCACCUACUCUGACAAAUAAUAGAGAUUGAUUAGUUAAAUAUACAUAAACUUUCCUUGAUGAGAAAAAGUAAGAAGAAGAAAAAAAUGUGCAUUGUAAAGAUUGAGAAAAUACUAUAUAAUUAGAUUUUCUAUAAUUACAAUAUGGCAAUUAUCCCUUACACCUAUUAGAACUAAAGUUGAAAUCAUUAUUUAUUUAAUUCAGUGGUUGUAAGAUUUGUUCUAAAUUAGAGUAUUUCCAACAUCGUUAGCCCAAUAUUCAUAAGUUUUACAAAGUUUCUGACAUGUAAUAGUAUAUUAGGGUGUUCGUAAAUUGGCUUCAUUCGUAAAUCCAUAAUUUUACAAAUUACAUUUUUUUAAUUCAAUCCAAUUCAUGUAUCAAUAGAUCAUAUGCAGAUUUAAUAAGAAUUUCAUAUAUAGUCCACUAUUUUACGGAUAAUUAGCAAAUUACAAAUAUUUCAUUUUCAUCUCAUCCAAAAAGUAAUUAAAUAAAAUAAGAUUCAAAUUAAGUAAGAUUUGCAACAACCAAGUACUUUCACAGACGUAUUAAUUGAAAUAAACUAGAGUUUUAUUUUAAUUGUUAAUUUAUUUAUUUCUUUUGGUUUUAUAUUAUUAUUAGGUCAAACAUAAUAUGUGAAACUUCAUUUUCGUAUGCAAUAUUUACUAAUAGUGGCCCAUCUACAAAUUUUUUAAUUCUUUUGUUUAAAUUUAAAUUUUAUUUUUUCAUUAUAUUAAAAUUUUUCUUGUUACAAAUUAUUUGUAGAUUUUUACUAAUCUGAAAUAGUCAAUCCAUAUCCAGUGCACCCAACUAUGAAGUUUAAAAUUUUCAAUUCAAUCCAUCUAAAAAUUGAAUUUUUGUGGAAUCCAUUUCUACAAAUUGAGAGGAUGAAGAAAAUUGAAUUGGGUUAGAUUAUGAAUACCCUUAUAAUAUAUAUGUUAAGUGGGUUGUUCAAUUAAUAAAAUAUCUCUCGUACUAGAAGUGGCAAGACU